UGGGGAAUAUUGCACAAUGGGCGCAAGCCUGAUGCGGCCAUGCCGCGUGUGUGAAGAAGGCCUUCGGGUUGUAAAGCACUUUCAGCGGGGAGGAAGGCGUUAAGGUUAAUAACCUUGGCGAUUGACGUUACCCGCAGAAGAAGCACCGGCUAACUCCGUGCCAGCAGCCGCGGUAAUACGUAGGGUGCAAGCGUUAAUCGGAAUUACUGGGCGUAAAGCGCACGCAGGCGGUCUGUCAAGUCGGAUGUGAAAUCCCCGGGCUCAACCUGGGAACUGCAUUCGUAACUGGCAGGCUAGAGUCUUGUAGAGGGGAGUAGAAUUCCAGGUGUAGCGGUGAAAUGCGUAGAGAUCUGGGGGAAUACCGGUGGCGAAGGCGGCCCCCUGGACAAAGACUGACGCUCAGGUGCGAAAGCGUGGGGAGCAAACAGG
rnacentral:rRNA from 1 species